rnacentral:sRNA from 1 species
GCCCCACAGCUCAAGGGCGCCUCGAGGGAAACGCGCUGAAGCUGGACUUGCUGACCUCCGACCGGGCCCUGGACACCACCGCUCCCCGUGGUCCCUGCAUCGGUCCCGGUGCCGGAGAGAUCCUGGAGCGCGGCCAGCGCGGCGUCGGGGACGUGCUGUUGCAACUCGAGGGGAUCUCCCUAGGUCCUGGGGCCUCUCUCAAGAGAGCCUGGCCCUGCCUCUGGGACAGAGUCUGCCCACUUCCUGCGGGCGCACUCCCGCUGCGGCCCUGGCCUCCCACCACCCCAUGUAUCUAGUCCCCAGCCAACCCCACCAGGUCCCGAAGCUAAGGAGCCAGGCCUGGGGGUGGACUUCAUUCGUCACAAUGCACGAGCUGCCAAGAGAGCCCCCCGGAGGCAUUCCUGCUCACUGCAGGUCCUGGCACAAGUGCUAGAGCAGCAGCGUCAGGCCCAGGAGCACUACAAUGCCACGCAGAAGGGCCAUGUGCCACAUUACUUGUUGGAGCGCAGGGACCUGUGGCGGCGGGAGGCCGAGGCCCGCAAGCAGAGCCAGCCGGACCCUGCCAUGCCCCCAGGCCACACGCGCAUGCCUGAGAACCAGCGGCUGGAAACACUGACCAAGCUGCUCCAGAGCCAGAGCCAGCUGCUGCGUGAGCUGGUACUGCUGCCUGCUGGGGCAGACUCACUGAGAGCCCAGAGCCACCGUGCUGAGCUGGACCGGAAGCUGGUGCAGGUA